rnacentral:tRNA from 1 species
GGAGGGUAUAGCUCAGUGGUAGAGCUCAUGCUUAGCAUGCAUGAGGUCCUGGGUUCAAUCCCCAGUACCUCCU